UGCUUGACUAGGCUGGUAGACUUGCUGUUACCAUCACCAGCCAUACCAUCAUUUGAGGAUACAGUACUCUCCCCUCAUCUGUGCUUUCACUUUUCGUGGUUUCAGUUACCUUCAGUCAACCAUGGUCUGAAAAUAGCCUCUUUUUCUGUCUUCAGAUACUACUUUGAAAACAAGAUGAAAGCCACGGAAUCUCCCCCUGAGAAAAAUGCACAUCUUACAGACUUUCAGUGAGUUCUGGAAUACCAGGAACCAGAGCCCACACUAAUGAACAGCAGUUUCCUAACCUAAUGCGAGAGAUUUGAGAUUUCUUCUGGCUCCCAUGAUCUUCUAAUUGUCUUCUUAGCAAGACUAAACACAUCUCCAAGAAAUGUGCACUGCCAUGAAUGUCUUCCAGCUAUCUUCUAUGACAGCACUUCCCAGUGUGUUCUGUGGAAUAAUGGUACAGGGUGAUGUUCUAUGAAGAAAAAUACGGAAAGUAAUAUAUUCCACAGUCCGUAUAUUAGAUUGGACUAAUAAAAAUAAAUAUGGAAAGUAA